rnacentral:rRNA from 1 species
ACGGGAGGCAGCAGCUAAGAAUAUUCCGCAAUGGGGGAAACCCUGACGGAGCGACGCCGCGUGGAUGACGAAGGCCGUGAGGUUGUAAAAUCCUUUUGGGACUGAGGAAUAAGCGUCGGAGGGAAUGCCGGCGCGGUGACUGUAGGUCCUGAAUAAGCACCGGCUAAUUACGUGCCAGCAGCCGCGGUAACACGUAAGGUGCAAGCGUUGUUCGGAAUCAUUGGGCGUAAAGGGCAUGUAGGCGGAACUGCAAGUCCGGUGUGAAAUCCCAGGGCUCAACCCUGGGGCUGCGCCGGAAACUGCGGAGCUAGAAUCACUGAGGGGGAGCCGGAAUUCCAGGUGUAGGGGUGAAAUCUGUAGAUAUCUGGAAGAACACCAAUGGCGAAGGCAGGCUUCCAGCAGAUGAUUGACGCUGAGGUGCGAAGGUGCGGGGAGCAAACAGGAUUAGAUACCCUGGUA